rnacentral:misc_RNA from 1 species
GAAAUGCGAUAAGUAGUGUGAAUUGCAGAAUUUAGUGAAUCAUCGAAUCUUUGAACGCACAUUGCGCCCUUUGGUAUUCCUUAGGGCAUGCCUGUUCGAGCGUCAUCUACACCCUCAAGCACAGCUUGGUGAUGGGCGCCUGUCCCCCCCCCCCGGGGGCCGCGGACUCGCCUCAAAUGCAUUGGCGGCCGGCGACCUGGCCUCGAGCGCAGCAGAAACGCGUACUCGGGGCCCGGGCGCCCGCUCCCAGAAGCCAACCCACCCAGUUUGACCUCGGAUCAGGUAGGGAUACCCGCUGAACUUAAGC